UUUGAGCAGUCGCGGUUUGGUCUAUUAUUGACUGAGCUGAGGAAAGUCCACGCACGCACAGGCUGCGAAGCUUGUAGUGUUCGUAUUUAGCCCAAUAAGCUAAAGAAUUGGUUACAAUUACGGCGAAAAAAGUGCUAAGUCAUUUUUGAUAUGCAUGAUUAUUCUGAAAAGUGCCACAGUGACGAAGCUUGAGCGGAAACGCUCUUGGUGGAACGAGGUAAACCCUGCGAGCGUGCAACCCAAAUUGGGUGGGGGCGUCUCAACCUAGGGAAUUGAACUAAAGGUUGGAUUGCUAUUAAUAGCAAAGAUAGAUGGCUGCUAAAGGUAAUUUGGCCAAAAUUACUGGAACAGAACGUGGCUUAUAA
rnacentral:RNase_P_RNA from 1 species